ACAAAGGCCUAAUCCAAAACCCAUUGAAGUCAGUGGGAGCCUUUCUACUGACUUCAUUGGGCUUUGGAUCAUGCCCCAAAGU
rnacentral:pre_miRNA from 1 species